GAGGAAUUUUCUGCAAUGGGCGAAAGCCUGACAGAGCAAUACCGCGUGAGGGAUGAAGACUUACUGAGUUGUAAACCUCGGUGCCUUAAGGAAGAAGAUAUGACGGUACUUAAGGUGGAAAGCAUCGGCUAACUCCGUGCCAGCAGCCGCGGUAAGACGGGGGAUGCAAGUGUUAUCCGGAUUUACUGGGCGUAAAGCGUCUGCAGGUGGUUUCUUAAGUCUACUGUUAAAUCUUGAGGCUCAACCUCAAAUCUGCAGUAGAAACUAGGAGACUUGAGUAUAGUAGGGGUAGAGGGAAUUUCCAGUGGAGCGGUGAAAUGCGUAGAUAUUGGAAAGAACACCGAUGGCGAAGGCACUCUACUGGGCUAUUACUGACACUCAGAGACGAAAGCUAGGGGAGCAAAUGGGA
rnacentral:rRNA from 1 species